rnacentral:rRNA from 1 species
AUCCUACGGGGGGCAGCAGUGGGGAAUAUUGGGCAAUGGGCGCAAGCCUGACCCAGCAACGCCGCGUGAAGGAAGAAGGCUUUCGGGUUGUAAAGCUCUGUCUUCAGGGACGAUAAUGACAGUACCUGAGGAGGAAGCCAUGGCUAACUACGUGCCAGCAGCCGCGGUAAUACGUAGGUGGCGAGCGUUAAUCGGAAUUACUGGGCGUAAAGCGCUCGUAGGCGGUAUGUCAAGCCAAGGGUGAAAUCCCCGCGCUCAACGUGGGAACUGCCUUUGAAACUGGCAAACUGGAGUGUGUGAGAGGA